AUUGAACGCUGGCGGCAGGCCUAACACAUGCAAGUCGAGCGGAUGAAGGGAGCUUGCUCCUGGAUUCAGCGGCGGACGGGUGAGUAAUGCCUAGGAAUCUGCCUGGUAGUGGGGGAUAGCGUCCGGAAACGGGCGCUAAUACCGCAUACGUCCUGAGGGAGAAAGUGGGGGAUCUUCGGACCUCACGCUAUCAGAUGAGCCUAGGUCGGAUUAGCUAGUUGGUGGGGUAAAGGCCUACCAAGGCGACGAUCCGUAACUGGUCUGAGAGGAUGAUCAGUCACACUGGAACUGAGACACGGUCCAGACUCCUACGGGAGGCAACAGUGGGGAAUAUUGGACAAUGGGCGAAAGCCUGAUCCAGCCAUGCCGCGUGUGUGAAGAAGGUCUUCGGAUUGUAAAGCACUUUAAGUUGGGAGGAAGGGCAGUAAGUUAAUACCUUGCUGUUUUGACGUUACCAACAGAAUAAGCACCGGCUAACUUCGUG
rnacentral:rRNA from 1 species